GUGUGGAACCUGGGAUUCAAACCGCCAGGCAAAGUGCCGUAGCAGGGACUCUGGCCUAGUGAGAGUCUCUGUUUCCCCCUUUUCUUUCUUUCCACCCAAUAAAACCUGGUCUUACUCAUCAUUCAAAUUGUCUGCGAGCCUGAAUUUUUGUGGCCGUGGGACAAAGAACCCCGUCUUUAACGGAACUAAGGAAAAGCCCUACAACAAUUUUGGCGCGCAACGUGGGGACUUGAGAAGCGGUGUAUUUCCUUAGAGUUCUUGGGAAACCAUAUGGCUAAAACCUUGAUCAAUACCCUACAUACUCGGAAACGUUGAAUCUUUCUAACGGGAAAAAAGAGGUUAGGGGGCAGAAUUUAUAAACAUUUCUUCUUCAGAUUUAUGAUAUAGUUGAACUCUUUUGUGUCAACUAAAAGAACACGUGAACAUAGCAGGGCUGUCAAGAUAAGGCCACAAGCUUGCCGAGUUGGGGACCUUUGAAAUACAAUUCUUACUGCCAUAGAACAUGAAGAUGCCUGGGAAUUACAAUAUCCAACCAUUUAAUUAUGUGAUGUCAUAAGAAAAUGGCUUUAUUUUUAUUUGUAGGACUGUGGAAUCAGUACCUUGUAUUUAUGGGUUUUUAAAUCUAAAGGCUUAUUAGAAAGCUAACAAUGGACCAGUUAACUUACUCAUUAUCAGUUGCACAUGAUAGCUAUACUGAGUGACGUUGAAGAAAGCUUGUGUUUUCAACAGAAUACAUUCUACUGUAAAAAUUCUGUCUGUAAAUGAUACUUGCCAAGAUAAUUGCUAAUUGUAACUCAUCAAAAUAUGUGUCUGGUUCAACAGCAACAUGUUUAUUACUCCGUAUAUACUUAUUAUUUCUGUUGAAGCCAUCCUAGAGGGGCCCUCAACAUUAUUGCUUCUGUGUACAAUAGAACUUGACAUGUAAAAUUAAUCCCUUAAAGAUAUAUAUAAAUGAAUAACUAAAGCUGCAUGUAGGUGGAUUGGGACUGGUGAUUGAAAUGUAUCUGUUAUAAUUUAGUUAAGAUUUAGUCACUAUCUUAAGGAUAACAUGUUUGGCCGUGAGUAAAACAAGGUAGUGUGAAAUAAAACAGUAGGUCAGACUUGUUUCCUCCUUUCUUUCUACCCAUUCUCACAUUUGUCUCAUCUUAUAUUUAACUAAUUUUCCAGAACAAAUAUAAAGGGUAUGAAUGACUCUAACUCUGAAGAGAGAGAAAAGCCAGAGCAAUGAUUACACCUGCCCUUCUCACUUUUAGCUCUUAGCACAUUUAUCUUGUAUUGGACACAUUUUCAAAAACUUAUAUGUUGGGCUCAUGCCUGUAAUCCCAGCACUUUGGAAGGCCAAGGUGGACAGAAUUGCUUUAGCUCAAGAAUUUGAAACUAGCUUGGGCAGCAUGGUGAAAUCCCAUCUCUAUAAAAAAAAUUUAAAAAUUAGCUGAGCAUGGUGGUAUGCACCUAUAGUCACAGCUACUGGGGAGACUGAGGUGGGAGGAUCGCUUGAGCCUGAGAGGUCGAGGCUGCAGUGAGCCAUGAUCACACCACUGCACUGCAGCCUGAGUGAUGUGAGUGAGACCCUGUCUCAAAAAGAUUUUUAAAAAUUUUUUAAAAAAUUUUAAAAAGCACAUGUUCACCAUUAUCAAAGUAAAAUUAAAGGUCAAAGUUAGGUACUUAUUUGUUUACCUAGUACCCACUAAUAAAAACCAAUAAUAAAAGUGUAAACUAAAUUGGGCCAUGAACCAUCAGAUCCUUUUGGACUUCAGUGGGGAAAACACCAGGAUCAGAUCCAGUGAUAGUUUAGGUGUGAAUGUAGCUAACUCCUCCAAAUUUGAAAAUUAAGGUAGUAAGAUUCUUUUUACUGAUUAGUAUCAAAAUUAAUUGCUAUAAAAUGUUCAGCCAUGAUCAAGGUUUGUAUAACAAUAAAAUAUACAAAUAUUUUGGUGAUUCUAUCAACUUCCUGACACAUAUAAUCAAAUAUUGUCUAUGUUAUAUUAUUGCCUGAAAAAGUGUAAACAAAGGUCUGCUUCCUAAGAGUUUGGUCAUAGUUACUUUAAAUCAUGAGCUGGAUAUUAGUGAGACAUAAUAAUCUUAAUCAGCAAAUAUCUACUGGGUACCUUCAAUGUGCAAGUCACUCUAGUAGACAUUAGAGGGGAAAGGCACAUGGAGCACCACUUGCACUAAAAGGUUUGAUAUCCAGAUGGAGAUAUCACAUGUGAUGUGCCCAUUGCUUCUGAUAACUCACAAUAUCCUCAAAGUAGAGAUCAACCAAAAACAGAAAAAACUAUUUGCUGAAUCAUUCUGAGAGCCCAAUUGAGGUGGAAAACCUGAAAGUGAUACAAUGGCAUUCUAUUUUGUAAUUUUAUUCAAAAUUACUUAGCAGUCCAAGUAUCAACGUAUAGAAAGAUUAGGAAAAAAGGGAAAGGUCAAAGGACCAGAUAUGUAGGAAUAUAUACUUAUAUUUUUUCCAGUGGGUAUGUGUACAUAUAUAGAGACAUAGAUAUACAUAUACAUACACACAUAUACAUAUCAUAGUGAAAGUAAAGGAAUAACAGACCUAUAGAUUAAAUAAAGUAUCUUAAUUUCUUCAUUUAUCCAUAAAAAAAGAAAAAUGAAUUUGCUACAUAACUAGCCAGAUUUUAUAAAGAUAUCUUUAUUACUAACUUUUUAAAAUUUCUGUAGGUAUAUAAAAACAUAAUAAUCCCCUACUAAAGAACCAGGUAAUUUUGGAAAGAAUGUGGAAAUAAGGGUUUUUCUCCUUUCCUCUCUCAUUUGCCUGAUGCAAGAUUUAAGCCAGGUUUCUCAGAGUGGUCCAUUUUCUUAUCUGUGAAAUGGGAAAAAGUGGACCUUUGCUUCCUCAUUCAGAGCAAUUUCCGAGAAUAUUUGAGGUAACUAUUUGAAAACAUCUUGUAACUUAUGUAAAUGUAAGACAUUUCUCUUUCUGCUCUAAUUUUCCAUGCAGCAGAAAUCUCUUUGUGUUUGCUCAUUUACAGAAAUAAUUCAAUAAUUAUCUUAACCCAGGUUUAAAAUGCAUAUAAAUUUUACUCGUAGGUAUCCAGGAGAAAUUAAAACAUAUCCACGCACACACACAAAAAAUUGUACACAAAUUACCAUAGCAGCGUUGUUUAUAAUAGCCAAACAGUAGAAACAACUCUAAUUUCCAUCUGAGGAACAAACAAAAGGUGUUAUAUCCAUAUAGUAGAUUGUUAUUCAUUUAUAACAAGGAAUGAAGCACAACAUGGAUUAACCUUGAAAACAAUAUAUAUUAAGAUAAAUAAUUCAGUCAAAAAGACCCUAUAUUGUAUGGUUUCAUUUAUAUAAAAUAUCUACUAGAAUAGACAAAUCCUUAGAUACAGAAACUAGGUUAGUGAUUGCAUAGGAUUGGGGUGCAAUGGAGGAGAAUGGAGAAUGACUGCUAGUAGGUAUGGAGUUUCUUUUUGGGGUGAUGAAAUUAGGGGUGAUAGUUACAUGAGUCUGUUAAAAAUACUAAAAUCCAUUUAAUUGCACACUGUAAAUGGGUGAAUUUUAUGGUAUGUGAAUUAUUUCUCUUAAUAAAAAUGUGCAAAUCACUUCAAAAAUAUUACAAAAAUAGUGCUAAUUAUUUAUUAGCCUGAAGGAUAAUACAUCCAGCAAUGUAUCAAAAAGUACUUUACCUGAGCAGAUUUAGGUGUUACAUUUGCAUUUGAAUUUCAAAACGCAUUAUCUUAAAUGCAGAGAGAAGCCAGAGAACUCAGAUAGGUUUGCUCUGUCAUUAGGCAAUAUUGGAAAGAACCAUUCCUGCACUAUUGAGUCUAUAUUUUCGUACUCUUUCUCAAUAAUUUUAAGAAUUAAUUACUUUGGUUUCCAAUCUCUAAGUAGCCUUUAAAGGCUCACAUUUCUCAGGUUUUCAUGCUCCCAAAGGUUGAUUUUGAUAGGGUCUUUGUUAUAAAGAUCAAAGCAGUUUAAACCAUGUUAAUAGGAUCAAUCUAUAAUGUGGACUAAGAUGUUAAUAUUAACAGAGCAAGUCCUAGUGAAUGGGAUAACUAUAAUAAUAAUAGUACUAAAGCAUGCCAGGCACUUAUUAUUUUAUGUCCAUUUAAAAAAUAAGAACAAAGAGACCUAGGCAAAGAGAGGAUGCCUGCUUUGCCCAAAGACCAAAUUGGGGUUCAAGUUCAGGCCCUCAAAAUCUGAGCUUUUAGUCAUUACACUAAACAAGUAAGAAACAGUUCCUUCCCCAAAAUAACUCCUUUGUAGAUGGGGAUAGAUAAUGUUCCCAUCUAGUAGAAGAAAGGAGAAAAAUUCAAUGAAGAGCCAUAUUAGGUGUUGAAAUAACCAACAUUUUUAAAUCAUUUUUACAAUUUUUGAGGGACUUUCAAUUAUGACCUCACUUGAUUUUUUGACAUCUGUUCUGCACAUUCCAAAAGCACUUAAGGCUUAUUCACUGCCACAAAAUAGCUUACCUCUGUAAUACUAAGUAACAUGAUCAGCAUCUUCAUCUUAACAGCAUUCUCCUCGGGAACAUAAACACAGCACUACUGAAAGUAACACAAGUGAACUUUACUCCAGCUUACAUUUUAGUUCUUAGAUCUCUGAGCUCUCCACUUAUAUUCUGUUAUCUACUGCUUUUCUCUGUGACCCACAGUGUGGAUUUGAAGAUGAUUGGCCAAUGCAUUGGGAAUGAGACGUGUCAGAGUCAAGUAAAUAAAAUAACAGAAGAGAACAAAAGUAGGAAGACAAUAUGCCCAGUAAGUUAAAAAGUCAAAGAUUUUGCAAUGAGCAUAAACAGAGCCCUCAGGGGAUGUGGCUUAGCAAAGAGAAAACAAAUAACAAGGCACAGUCCUUGGGAGACUGGACCAACAUCUAGACAUGACACUGUGGACACAGAAUGUAGACUUCUGACUGGAUUUAGAAUUGUUUACCAAUUGCGUGAUCAUUAAAUUUAUGAGUCAAUUUUGUUGGGCUAGGAUACCCUGUUGUUUAGUCAAACACUAGUCUAGAUGUUGCUGGGGAAAAUAUUUUUAGAUGUGAUUUGCAUUUAAGUCAGUAGACCUGGAGUAAAGCAGAUUACUCUUUAUAAUGUGGAUGGAUUCUAUCCAAUCAGUUAAAGGCCUUAAAAGCAAAGACUGAAAUUUCCCAGAAAAAAAAAAAAUCUCCUCAAGAUUGAACAUAGAAACUCUGCCUGAGUUUCCAGCCUACAACCCUGAAGAAUUAGACUCAAGGCCUCAACAUCAACUCUUUACUAAAUUUCCAGGCUGUCAAUCUGCCUAUGGAUUUUAGACUUGCCAGCCCCCAUAAUCACAGAAGCCAAUUUCUUAAAGCAAUCUGAGUGUGUCUCUGUCUCAUUAUUUCUCUCAAUAUAGAGAUGGAUAUAGAUAUAUAAAUGUAUCCUAUUGGUUUCAUUUCUCUGGAAAACCUUGAUUAAUACAAUUUAUCAACCUCAUAAUUUCAUGUAUGUUAUUUAACUUUCCUGAGCCUUACUUUCCCCAUUUUACAAUAGGCAAAUAAUACUUAAUUUACAUAGGGUUGUGACAAGCACCCUACUUGUGCCUAGCACAAGUAAUAAUCAAUAAAUAAUAGCUGUUAUUACUUUUUUAUUGUGUUUAUUUAAGGUAUAUAGCAUGAUGUUAUGGGAUACAUAUAGAUAUCUGUUACUUGGUAUUCUUUGACCUUAAUCUCCCGAUUUUUUCUCCAUUCUUCACCCUGCCUCUGGUAACAAAUAUUUUGUUCUCCAUCUCUGUAUAUUUCAAAUUUGUUUUAGAUUCCAUAUGUAAAUGAGAUCAUGCAAUAAAGAU